GUCUAUGGCCAUACCACCCUGAACACGCCCGAUCUCAUCUGAUUUCGGAAGCUAAGCAGGGUCGGGCCUGGUUAGUACUUGGAUGGGAGACCAAAGAUUUUGGUGCAUGUGUCCUAUAGAUA
ensembl:rRNA 5S_rRNA 5S ribosomal RNA